rnacentral:rRNA from 1 species
UACGGGAGGCAGCAGUGGGGAAUAUUGCGCAAUGGGCGCAAGCCUGACCCAGCAACGCCGCGUGAGGGAAGAAGGCUUUCGGGUUGUAAACCUCUGUCCUUGGUGACGAAGAAGUGACGGUAGCCAAGGAGGAAGCCCCGGCUAACUACGUGCCAGCAGCCGCGGUAAU